rnacentral:lncRNA from 1 species
GAUUUUGAUUCUUGAAGCAGUGGCAGCCAAUAUCAGCAUGGGCAGAAAUUAAUCAUAGGAGAUUAGAGACUCUGUCUUAUUCUGUGUGUAAUAAAAUUAUUUUCUUUCAAUUGAAGAUACUCACAUCUGCUCUAACAACAUGAGCCUCUAUUAUCUGCUUUGUGCCGUGCUACUUCCCUUUAUACAGCCCAAGCUUCUCUGAACUGGGCCACUUCCUCCUCCCCAUUUCUUCCCAGCUCUAGUCUAAACUCCACUUGGAAGAUGUACUCUCCAUCUCUCCGUACCCCUCUUUAUUCCAUUUCAAGCCCUCCCACCUCUCAAGGUCUAUCUCAAAAGUGCCAAGCA